rnacentral:lncRNA from 1 species
GGAUGGCAUCACUGACUCGAUGGACAUGGGUUUGAAUGAAUUCUGGGAGUUGGUGAUGGACCGGGAGGCCUGGCGUGCUGCGGACUGAGCGACUGAACUAAACUGAACUGAAGUCUAACUUACACUGAAUGUUCUAGAUAGAGAAAUCACAGGUUAUUUGCAUUUCUUUGUGGUUUAUCUUUAACUCAGACACUCUCUUAGACACUAGGGAAAGUCAGUUGAAAGAAAUGGAACUGACACAAAUAGCAUGGGGCAUUUGCUCUCCACAAGAAACUGAGAUAGAAAAUAUACUUCAAGUACUAUUUUUUCUUCCUUUAUUACCUCAUUCAUGAGACUUAGAAUUCCUCAAGGCUAUAUAUGUUUAUUGAAGGUUAACUAUAUUUAUUGAAAUUACUUUUCAGUUGUUUUGAAAGAACUGAAAGAACUAUGAAACAUAGUUUGAAAGAACUAUCUAUGUUUGAUCACAAAGAACCCUGAAGUAUGAUGUGAAUCAUAUGCACAAUGUACAUUUUACUUCUUGGUCCUUAGUCAAAGGUUUCUUUGAAAAUAUUGAAAGCAUCAUUCCUUUGUUCACAAUAGCCUUCCUCCUCUCCAACCAAAACUGUAAUCUUUAACGACUCUUAAGAGUCUGAUUCCUUCAUUUAUAUAUUCUUUUUUGCACCCUCUUUUAAGGUUCUAAGAAAAACCUCACUGAUGGGGAAAACCACUGCUGACUCAGAAGCAGGUUUAAUUGUGGUUAUCUUUCACCAUGUUCUAGGCAGCUUGUCAACAAACCACAUAUGCCAAACAAGGAAGCAAAACCAACUGAAGGGCUCUCAGCUUUCCAGUGUGCAGAAGUUGAAGGUUAACAGGGGGAAGAAAGCUCACAGGAACUUCAUUAACAAGGGAUUAAACAGUUUACUGGACACAAGGUACUUGCAACCUCAAAUAAAGCAGCACAGAAACACAGCACAGGAAGAGUUUUCUCUGAAAAGAUACCUGGACCAGAAAGUCUUGGUUCUACCCUAUCUGCCAGAGACUCACCUAAAUCCAAUUAGGGUAGCAGCAUACAGAAUAAAUAGAAUCCGAGGAAUAUGAAUAAAUUAUGUUUUCU